rnacentral:rRNA from 1 species
GGAAUAUUGGUCAAUGGGCGCAAGCCUGAACCAGCCAUGCCGCGUGCAGGAAGAAUGCCCUAUGGGUUGUAAACUGCUUUUAUUUGGGAAUAAACCUUUCUACGUGUAGGAAGCUGAAGGUACCAAAUGAAUAAGCACCGGCUAACUCCGUGCCAGCAGCCGCGGUAAUACGGAGGGUGCAAGCGUUAUCCGGAAUCAUUGGGUUUAAAGGGUCCGCAGGCGGAUUUAUAAGUCAGUGGUGAAAGCCUACAGCUUAACUGUAGAACUGCCAUUGAUACUGUAAGUCUUGAAUUCGGUCGAAGUGGGCGGAAUGUGUAGUGUAGCGGUGAAAUGCAUAGAUAUUACACAGAACACCGAUAGCGAAGGCAGCUCACUAGGCCUGGAUUGACGCUCAGGGACGAAAGCGUGGGGAUCAAACAGGAUUAGAUACCCUGGUAGUCCACGCUGUAAACGAUGAUUACUCGUUUUCGGCGAUAUACAGUCGGAGACUAAGCGAAAGUGAUAAGUAAUCUACCUGGGGAGUACGAUCGCAAGGUUGAAACUCAAAGGAAUUGACGG